rnacentral:tRNA from 1 species
UCCGCGCUGGUGUAACGGCAGCACUACGGUCUUUGGAGCCGUCGGACCGGGUUCGAACCCCGGGUGCGGAG